GGAGGAAUAUCCGAGUGAGAGGGUUUUAAACCGUCGACGGGAAACCGUUCCAGAGUUCGAAUCUCUGCUCCUCCGCCA
rnacentral:tRNA from 1 species